UUUUAGAUUAUAAUUUAAAGUCUAACCUGCCCACUGAUUUAAUUAUUUAAAGGCCGCAGUAUCUUGACUGUGCAAAGGUAGCAUAAUCAUUUGUCUUUUAAUUGAAGGCUGGAAUGAAUGGUUGAAUGAAAUAUUAACUGUCUCAUUUUUAUAAAUUAAGAAUUUAGCUUUUUAAUCAAAAGGUUUAAAUAAAAUUAAAAGACGAGAAGACCCUAUAGAUUUUAAUAUUAUGUUAUAUGAUUUUAUUAAGUAAAAAAUUUUAUUGUUAUAUAAUUUAAUAUUUGAUUGGGGUGAUUAAAAAAUUUAUUAAACUUUUUUUUUAUUAAAACAUUAAUAUAUGAAUAAUUGAUCCAAUAAUAUUGAUUAAAAGAUUAAAUUACCUUAGGGAUAACAGCGUAAUUUUUUUAGAGAGUUUUUAUCGAUAAAAAAGAUUGCGACCUCGAUGUUGAAUUAAAGGUUAUUUUUAAAUGUAGAAGUUUAAAGUUUAGGUCUGUUCGACCUUUGAAUCUUU
rnacentral:rRNA from 1 species